rnacentral:misc_RNA from 1 species
AUCAUUGUAGUAGAAUAUAAUUUUUCCCAAUGAAGGAUUAUAUUCCAAAUUGGCAACUAAUAUACAAUAUGCUAGCUUGGAUUCGUAAAAGCAAGGUACGUAAGAAUUGCUCCGGUGUUAAAUCCGUUGAAGUUGGACCCAGCAGCCGCCGUAUAUGCUCCCAUGCAGGGGAACACCAGCCAAUCGUUGACCUGCAGUUCCGGUAAUGGGUGACCUUUUAAAACCGUGUCAAGCGCAUCACACGUGGGACCAAAAACCGUCGAGCUAUACGUCCUCGAUCCUUUGCACGUGGGGUUUACACGAUUUGAAGUGCACGCGAGAGGCGCGCACUUGAUAGUUGCAUGAUCGUAUAAGAUACAGUUCAUGGAACCGUAAAUACCGUCGUUAAUCCAAUACUCUCUAUGUUCUCCCCUAACACGCUUCCCGAUUAUGUUUGUGGCUAACGUGAAAGCCGAUUCUGCAAAGAACCGGCCCGGCUCCGAAAUAAUUCUCAAGCCCUGUUCGUUUGGGAAAUAAGCUUGAAGCGAUUUGAUUGCUGUAGCCGCUUCGUCAAAUUGUGAACCGGCCGUGACCCCGCCGCCAAUGUUCAGCACAUUCAUUUUCGGCAUGCCGAGUCUAGCUGCAGCUUC